AGAGGGUCACUUCAAUAUUAUCCAACCAUGAGCUCGUUUUUGUUUCCUUCUUCUUCUCCGAUUCCCAAAUCUCACUGGCGCGCGAACUCCAUCCCUAAACCUAAUCGCCCGAUUACACUCUCUCUUCUUCAUGGAAACUCCUAUUCGUGGAGGUUAUCUUGUAAACUCAGUCUCGAUUAUUUCGAGGAAAGCGUGGAGGAAGAUGAAAUCCCUCAGUUUCUCGACUUCUCUGCGGAGGGGGAGGAGCCAGAUUUGGAGAAAGAAACGGUUUCUGCUCCAACUAUGACGCUGAUGCAGAGGAAGAAGAAGAAAGGAGAUGAAGAGAGCUUAGAAGAUAGAUUCAAGCUCAGAAAUGGAAAGGAGGUUGCAACCCCCUUCUUCUUUUGUUAUGGUUUUAGUGUUAAAGAAGCAGAAAAUCAUUUUUGUGAAGGUCUGGAGAAUCUCGGGAAUACAUGUUUUCUCAAUUCGGUAGUGCAGUGUUUGACUUACACGGAGCCUUUAGCUGCUUACCUGCAAGAUGUGGGCCAUGGGAGACGAUGUAAGUUGCUUUUAAGAUGCUAUGGUUAAUUCUUAUACUAAGUGAGUGUCUGAGACAAUGUUCGUAUCAAAACGUUUGGUUGUAGGUCAUAUGGCUGGGUUCUGUGCUUUAUGUGCAAUGCAGAAGCAUGUCAGGCUUGCUCUUCAAGCUAGUGGCAAAAUAGUAGCACCCAAAUAUUUGGUCUCCAACUUGCGAUGUAAUGCUUCUCAGAACCUUGCCCUGUUUGAACUAUUAGUGUGCCAAUUACUAAUCAGAGACUAAUGAGGGAUGAUUCUCAACUGGUUGAUUAGGCGUAUCAAGAAACUUCAGAAACUGUCGACAGGAAGAUGCACAUGAAUACAUGAUCAACUUGCUGGAGUGCAUGCACAGGUGUUGUUUGCCUUCUGGUGUACCAAGUGAAUCCUCUGAUGCUUACAGGAGCAGCUUGGUUCACAAAAUAUUUGGUGGUAGCCUCCGUAGUCGGGUAAAGUUGCAUCCUUUGGAGCAUAUAUUUUACCUAUGGCCUCAGCUUUUUCUAAUAUUUUUUAUUGUUCAGGUGAAAUGCGCGCAAUGUUCACAUUGCUCAGACAAGUUUGAUCCGUUUCUUGACCUGAGUCUAGACAUUUCGAAGGCAGAUUCACUGCAGAGAGCACUUUCACGCUUCACUGCUGAUGAGCUCUUAGAUGAUGGUGCAAAAGUUUACCAGUGUGAAAGAUGCAAGCAGAAGGUUAGGGCUGUAAAACAGCUAACUGUUUCUAAAGCGCCUUAUGUCCUAACUGUACAUCUCAAACGGUUCGAAGCGCACAGAUCCGAAAAAAUCGACAAGAAGGUCCAGUUUGCCUCUGCAGUUGACAUGAAACCUUUUGUCAGUGGUCCCUGUGUAAGUAGACCUCGUCUUGUGCUCUAUUUUCUAAGAUUUUGACAUGUUCUUGGAGUUGUUUAGAUAAUCUGGUUCAUGUACUUGUGUUGAACAGGCAGGUAAUUUGAAGUACACUCUAUAUGGUGUUUUGGUUCAUUAUGGUCGAAGUAGUCAUUCUGGUCACUACGCCUGCUUUGUUCGCACUUCAAGUGGCAUGUGGUAUUCCCUUGAUGACAACAGGGUAAGCAGCGAUGUUUCUACGUUCUUUUGGGUCGCAAAUUGUACAUAGGUUCCUUGUGGUAAGUUCCUCUUUACAUUGUUGGUGUAGGUUUCCAAAGUUAGUGAGAAUACUGUGUUCAAUCAGAAGGCGUAUAUGCUAUUCUAUGUUCGUGAUAGACAAAACCCAGCCCCAAAGAACACGGUUGCCGUGGUUAAUAAAGAGACUCCCAGAGAGAGCGUUGCCACAAACAGAGCUUCUUUGAAUAUAUUCUCUAGCCGAAAUGAUCAAGUGAAUGGCUCAGGUGUCAUGAAAGCAUCUAGUUUAAAGGCUCCUGUAGCCAAUAGUAUAGCACCCUUGAGAUCAUGUGAUAAAGGUUCUCCUGCUGUCUUGACCCAAAAAGAUUUGAAUGCUAAAGAGACUCAGAAAGAUGCCCCAAGCAUUGUAGAGGCAAAAGGGAUACUAAAGAGGGAAAAUGAUACAGAACCAUUAGAAUCAUGUGAUAAAGGUGCUCCUGCUGUCUUGGCCCAAAAAGAUUUAAAUGCCAAAGAGACUCAGAAAGAACUUUCCAGCAGUGUGGAGGCAAAUGGGAUCCUUAAGAGGGAAAAUGGUUCAGCACCCUUGAAACCAUGUGAUCUACGUGCUCCUGCUGUCUCAACACAGAAAGUUUUAUGUACCAAAGAGACCCUUCAGAAGGAAGUGCCACUUCCACAGGCUAAUGGGGAAGUAUCUUUGGUAAAGUAUGGUUCCAAGGCUGCGUGCACAGUAUUACUAGGGAAGGAUUCUCUUCUCCUGGAAGGCAGCACAAACACUCAAAUUCUCGUCAACUUGCCUGCUUCCGCAGCUAAAGAUGGAAAUAACUUGAAAGAGGCUGCCAAUUCACUGAAGGUGAGUGUACAAUUAAUUACCUACCUUCACGAGUCAGCAUCUUGUUUUGUAUGGCCACCUUUUUUAUUAAUGGGAUUGAGUGUUUCUAACUUGCAUUUGGCUAUGCUCUCCAGGUUAGAGAUGUAUCGGUUGGUAAUUCUCCUAUUGAAGAAGCUGUUCAUGUUAAUCAGACUUUGGGACGUCAGUUGGAGGGUUCGGCCACUUCCAUUGAGUCAGUGAAAGCAAGUUCUGAUGAGGGGACUCUCACCACACCAAGAAAAACUCGCAAGGGUAGCAUGAAAACCCUGAAGGUGGGAUUCAAAUCUUUUAAGCUGACCUUGGGCGUACGCAAAAAGAAGAAACAGAAAAAGAGAAGAUCAAGUGCUACAGAUCAAGAGCGUUCCACUUCACAGAUAACUAGCGAAGUUGCUUCUUCUGGCUCGGGUUGCUUGUAUGGAAAGGAUAACUGUGUCAAUCUCCAUGAUGAAAAGAUAAGGAGUCGUAAUGGGAAUGUGUUGCUUGGCUCUCCAGCCGUAGAGCUCAAGGAGAGAAGUAAUCAAAAUGGUGCCGUUCUUGCGUCAGACCAAGAGCAAACGUUGAAGAGCUCUGACAUGUCUGAAGCAAGCCAAAACGCCAAAAGAAAGAGAGAGAGCGCAAAAGAAGAACAAAACUCUUUACAAAAAGAACAGGUGACCAUUCUUACACGUGGUUUGCCAGAGACAGUGGGUAAGCCUUCCCUCUUCUCAACUGUAUUGCUAUAACGAACUUUAUCCAGUUAGGAGAUAACACCUAUCAUUCUCCAAAUGCAUCAAUCAAGCCGUUGACCUGAGCAAGAGCUCUUAGAAUAUGCAAUUGUGUUUGAUGGGAUUAAGUCUUAUGAACCAUUGCAGUUGCCAAAUGGGAUGAGGAAGUUUCAGCUUCUAAGAUGAGAAAGAGUGAAGAAGACUCGAGAAUCGGAUAUGUAGCAGAUGAGUGGUGAGCUCGAGAUUUAUGUUUUGGUUAUUAUAUUAUUGGGCAGUUGUUUUACAUGAUAAAUGGUAUUGGGAUUGUGGCAGGGAUGAAGAAUAUGAUAGAGGGAAGAAGAAGAAGAUAAGGAUGAAAGAGGAGAUGUAUGCAGGGCCGAACCCGUUCCAGUUGUUUCCGUCGAAGAAACAACAUACAGAUACAAAGAAGAAAUGGACGCAACGCAUGAAUACUGCAAAGACAGGCUUCCGGAUAUGAUGAAUAAGUAAGACCAUCCAUAAUCUAUUAAAAAAAAAAAAAAUUGUAAUCCACAUGUUGCUGCUGUAUUUGCCUUGAGAGUAGUAAUGUUAACAAGAGAGGUUAUAUAGACACUAGAAGUUGUUUUCAUCUCUUGUCCUCAGUUUUGUUCUGUUUGUGAUGAAACAAAGAGUUGACACAUCCCCUUACUCUUUAAACUCUCGUCUUGUAGUAUCUCUUUUUGCUCCACCAAUAAUAAUAUGCUUAUUCAUUUACAGUGUAAGGCAGUUUUUCAUCGCAGACAGCUUUCGGGAGCAAACAAAAAGAUAAAGCAAAAAAAAUAGAAUAAAAAACGGAAAGCAGUUCAUUCAGGGAAUCAGAAAACGUCACGUAGUUGAAGACGUUGGGGUAUAAAAACUAACUCCCUCCCUCCACCACAAUCUUCGAGAGGGUCACUUCAAUAUUAUCCAACCAUGAGCUCGUUUUUGUUUCCUUCUUCUUCUCCGAUUCCCAAAUCUCACUGGCGCGCGAACUCCAUCCCUAAACCUAAUCGCCCGAUUACACUCUCUCUUCUUCAUGGAAACUCCUAUUCGUGGAGGUUAUCUUGUAAACUCAGUCUCGAUUAUUUCGAGGAAAGCGUGGAGGAAGAUGAAAUCCCUCAGUUUCUCGAC
rnacentral:lncRNA from 1 species